rnacentral:rRNA from 1 species
UACGAAAGGUGCAAGCGUUGUUCGGAAUGAUUGGGCGUAAAGCGCACGUAGGCGGAUUUUUAAGUCGAUUGUGAAAGCCCCGGGCUCAACCUGGGAAUUGCAGUCGAAACUGAAAGUCUUGAAUACCUGAGGGGUUGGUGGAAUUCCAGGUGUAGGAGUGAAAUCCGUAGAUAUCUGGAGGAACAUCGGAGGCGAAGGCGGCCAACUGGCAGUGUAUUGACGCUGAGGUGCGAAAGCGUGGGGAGCAAACAGG